CCCUAAGCGCCGCUUGCUCUCUCGCGUGCUCUCUCCAAUUUUGAGACCUGUUCAUCUUCUUCUUCCAUCCGUUUCAGAGACGCCGUUUCACCUCUUAGCUUCUCCUCUGUUACGUUAAAAUUUGUGACUCAUAAAGCUUUAACAUUUACCGCAAUCACUAUAUAAUCAAUCUCUUCACUUCCAAUUUUGCUGAGGAGAAGAAGAAAUACGAAGUAAAAUCUAUUUUUCCCGAUCAUGCCAAUGUCAUCAACUCUGGAUCAAGAGCUAAUUCUCUGUCGUAGACCAAACACUGAGCAUGAAGAAAUCAGCAAACUCUCAUCACCAGAAGCCAAGGAUAACAGAAAGUCAUCAUCACCAUCUUACUUCCUAGACUUCUGCAACUGGUAUCGAUGAGCUCCUUUCGAUGUGUUUAUCAUCCUUAUCGUUGUGAUCACAUUAUUUGGGUUCUUGAUCUUCCAUUACAUCAUCAUAUUCAUCACCACUAAAUCCUUUGAAAUCUUCUGAGAACUCUCUUGCUUAAUCAAAGAAUAGAUUAUUUGCAACUCUUACCGUUUUCAACAACUUCACAGUGAGAUGGCUUCACCAAAAUUGAAUUGAGCUGACACAUAGUCUGCAAACUAAAAUUCCUAAUGGUGCCACCUUCAUCACCAUCGGCGGUAUCCAAAGAAGCCAGUACCGUCCAAAUAAUUUGAUUAGUGAUUUAAUUGAGGCUUGAGGCGUAUUGAUGGAGCAACGACCAGAUUGUUCUACUUCAUGUGAUAGUUUAUCAUGUAGCAAGCUUUUGAGUAUAACCGUUUACAGGACGGUGUGAUACUCAGUGUGGAUACCCGAGCAACUAAAGGGCCAAUUGUUGCUGAGAAUAAUUGUGAGCAAAUUCACUACAGCGCACCAAACACAUAUUCAUGUGGUGUUGGAACAGCAGAAUAUGCAUUUCAAGCUAUAAAGAGAUACAACAAUGACUGUUUUAUUGACAGCCAAAACUAACAAGGAGGUGUUGUGAGAAGCGAGGUGGUAGUGGCAGAGGCCAAGCUGAUGGUCGCAAAGGGAAUAGGUGGCCCAGCUGGAGAUUGUCGUGCCUUAAAAUGUGUUUAAGAAAUGGAAUAAAGAGCUCGCACAUGGAUUAGGAAGGACGUGUAGGAUAACAAUAUGAUUUGUCACGUCUGUCUAGGAGCACCCCGAGCUGAAACCGCUGUUGCUCAGACUUAUGCAAGAAUCUUUUCCAUUACUCGGUGGCUACAAGAGAGGUAUGUCCGCUUGAGUCUCAGGUUAGAGGCUGCAAAGUGUGUAUGUAUGACAGGAUACAAGGUUAUAAUUGAGCUAAUCACACGACUGGGAAAAAGCCUUACUGGUAAAUCUGCCGUCCUGUAGCCUUGCCGUUACCGUCCCAGAACCGUGGCUUUUCGUGAGAUUAUAAAAUAUAAGAAGAGUACAGAGCUGCUGUCAGCAAAAUUUUAUUAAAUUUCAACAAGGGUUCGCCUAAAUUUACAGGAAUGUAUUUCAAUAACUUAAAGAAAAACAAAGCAUAUUUUCAUAUUAAAUAUUAAGAUAUUUAAUAUAUUACUA